rnacentral:lncRNA from 1 species
GUCGAUGUUGAGCGUGGUGAUGCUCCUGUUCUCACGCAGCAUGUUGGCCAGUGCAAACGCAACAUUGUCAUCAGCUCCCACGUUGGCCAAGCUGAAAGUUUUUAUGUUCUUAUUCUUCUUCAUCGCAUUGACAAAGUCUAUCAGCAUUUCUUUGGGGAUGUUCUCUAUGUUGUUCAGGUUGAGCUCCUUCAUAUCUGGAUUGUUUUUUCGGACUUUCUCCAGGCUCUCUUCUAAGUUGGUUUGAUUUCCUGAUGGCCUGGCGCUGAGUUUCAUGAAGCUGGUAUCCAAUGCUAACUUUUUGGGGAUGUUCAAUUUUGAGAUUUUCUUUUCAUUUUCUUCUGGCUUUUCUGUGGUUUCCCCUGAUUCCAUACCUGAUUGCUUGCUUGUUUGAUCACUGUGAUGGUUUUCAUUAACACAAGUUUCCUUUGUUUCUGACUCACUCUCAUCUUCCUCCUCUUCACCUUCCUCUUCUUCCUCCUCCUCGUCCUCUCCCUCCUCGUUGCUUCCAUCUCUGUUCAUCUCCCCAGGCUGUGUUACUGCAUGAGACACGCUCUCAUUUUUGUAGUGCCGCUCCUUCCCAUCAGCGUCUGGCCCCCUCCUGCCGCCUGCAUCUCCAGGACCACCACCAUCUCCCAUCUCCUCUGCAGUCAUUCUCUCAGAGGGCAGGAGGGUGACAGGAACUCUCUCAUCCUCAAGCAUGCGUCGGGACGCCUUUUGCCAGUACAGGUAGUCCACCAGGGAGCGGUGGUCAAAGCUGCCUGUUGGGGGCUUCUCUGUCUGAUCCCUCUGUAUCAUCCCUGUGGGGAGCUCGGGGUCAGGGGCCAUCACCUCCAUCUCGCUCUGCAGCUCCUUCAGCUCCUCAGGGGAGAGAUUGGCCAGAAUUUCA